CGCCGAGGGGGUGUUCCCGGCGGGUGUGGCCGGAGGGCGGCCUCGGUGGCCGGUGUCCCCUCCCCGCGGAGGCGCGGCGGCGCGCGGUGGGGCCGCGAUCCGCAGGAAGGGGAAGGAGAGCGGAGGAGAGCGCGGAGCAGAGGCCGCCGCGGGUGCGCGGGAGGCGGGAGGCGGGAGGCGGGAGGCGCCGGCCCGCGCCGCAGCCGCGCGCGCUGCAGGUGAACUUGGCCGCGGCGGUGGCCGAUCCCGCGGUCGCCGUCCCCUCCGCUCCGGGGGCCGCAGCUCGCCCAUGGCCGAGGGCCGGCGGCGGGAGGACGAGGAGGAAGAGCUGCGCGAGCGCCGCGAGCUCGGGGGCCCGCGCCGCGCCCGGGGCCGGGCCAUCUCGGGUCACCCGGCCGCAGAUCGCAACGAACGCAACAAACCAGAGCCUCGUUCUUCCAGCCAAGGACCCUUGUCAUCCAUCAGAGCAGUAAUCAAGAGAUGUAAGUUUGUUUCUUCCUGCUCUGGGUUUUACUCUGUGAUAAUUUUAAAUGAUGGUUUAGAUUUCUAGGAAGAGUGUAUUGAUGACUCUCUAAAGAACCUCACAAGAACAGCUUGUUCUGUUCUUGUAAUAAAGCAUUUCAGACAAACA
rnacentral:lncRNA from 1 species